rnacentral:rRNA from 1 species
GAUGAACGCUAGCGGCAGGCCUAAUACAUGCAAGUCGAGGGGCAGCGCAGGUAGCAAUACUGGGCGGCGACCGGCAAACGGGUGCGGAACACGUACGUAACCUUCCUUCAAGUGGGGCAUAGCCCGAAGAAAUUCGGAUUAAUACCCCGUAAGAUCGUGGAGUGGCAUCACUCAGCGAUAAAAGAACUUCGCUUAAAGAUGGGCGUGCGGCUGAUUAGGUAGUUGGUGAGGUAACGGCUCACCAAGCCGACGAUCAGUAACUGGCGUGAGAGCGCGACCAGUCACACGGGCACUGAGACACGGGCCCGACUCCUACGGGAGGCAGCAGUAAGGAAUAUUGGUCAAUGGACGCAAGUCUGAACCAGCCAUGCCGCGUGAAGGAUGAAGGUCCUCUGGAUUGUAAACUUCUUUUAUGUGGGAAGAAACCACCUUUAUCUAAGGGUGUUGACGGUACCAUAGGAAUAAGCACCGGCUAACUCCGUGCCAGCAGCCGCGGUAAGAC